GAUUGGCGGAUCCGCCGAAGCGUGUGAACACGCAGGCGGAGGCAGAAAUGUCCAAUCCCUUUAUAUAGUGUUUAUAAAGCGUAACAGUAUGUCGGUCUCUAUCUGAUGCAGGCGCAGGAUAUUUGAGGGGGACUGUCCCUAGUACGAGAGGACCUGAAGAAACGAACCUCUGGUGUUCCAGUUGUCCUGCCAAGGGCAAAGGCUGGGUAGCUAUGUUCGGAAGGGAUAAGCGCUGAAAGCAUCUAAGUGCCAAGCCCACCCCAAGAUUAGAUAUCCCUCUCUGGCCGUAAGGCUGGAGUGAAGGCAGGUUGUAGACUACAACCUUGAUAGGCGCGGUGUGUAAGGCCCGUAAGGGCUUUAGCUAACGCGUACUAAUUUGCCAAUCGGCUUGACCUU
rnacentral:rRNA from 1 species